UACGGGGGGUGCGAGCGUUGUCCGGAAUCACUGGGCGUAAAGGGCGCGUAGGUGGCCUGAUAAGGGUGUGGUGAAAGUCCGGGGCUCAACCCCGGAUCGGCCGUGCCGACUGUUAGGCUAGAGUACUGUAGGGGCAGGCGGAAUUCCGGGUGUAGCGGUGGAAUGCGUAGAGAUCCGGAGGAAGACCGGUGGCGAAGGCGGCCUGCUGGGCAGUUACUGACACUGAGGCGCGACACGUGGGGAGCAAACAGGG
rnacentral:rRNA from 1 species